rnacentral:sRNA from 1 species
CAGUAAAUGAAAAAGCUGAAAAGAACAUAACUAGU